AUUGAACGCUGGCGGCAGGCCUAACACAUGCAAGUCGAACGAGUGGCGGACGGGUGAGUAAUGUAUGGGAAACUGCCCGAUGGAGGGGGAUAACUACUGGAAACGGUAGCUAAUACCGCAUACCAUCGGAUGUGCCCAGAUGGGAUUAGCUAGUAGGUGGGGGAACGGCUCACCUAGGCGACGAUCCCUAGCUGGUCUGAGAGGAUGACCAGCCACACGGGAACUGAGACACGGUCCAGACUCCUACGGGAGGCAGCAGUGGGGAAUAUUGCACAAUGGGCGCAAGCCUGAUGCAGCCAUGCCGCGUGUAUGAAGCAGGCCUUAGGGUUGUAAAGUCCUUUCAGAGGGGAUGCGUUACCCGCAGAAGAAGCACCGGCUAACUCCGUGCCAGCAGCCGCGGUAAUUC
rnacentral:rRNA from 1 species